rnacentral:rRNA from 1 species
UGGGGAAUUUUGGACAAUGGGCGCAAGCCUGAUCCAGCAAUGCCGCGUGCAGGAUGAAGGCCUUCGGGUUGUAAACUGCUUUUGUACGGAACGAAAAAGCUCUCUCUAAUACAGGGGGUGAAUGACGGUACCGUAAGAAUAAGCACCGGCUAACUACGUGCCAGCAGCCGCGGUAAUACGUAGGGUGCAAGCGUUAAUCGGAAUUACUGGGCGUAAAGCGUGCGCAGGCGGUUUUGUAAGACAGAGGUGAAAUCCCCGGGCUCAACCUGGGAACUGCCUUUGUGACUGCAAAAAUGGAGUGCGGCAGAGGGGGAUGGAAUUCCGCGUGUAGCAGUGAAAUGCGUAGAUAUGCGGAGGAACACCGAUGGCGAAGGCAAUCCCCUGGGCCUGCACUGACGCUCAUGCACGAAAGCGUGGGGAGCAAACA